GAUGAACGCUAGCGGCAGGCCUAACACAUGCAAGUCGAGGGGUAGUUACUUUCGGGUAAUGAGACCGGCGCACGGGUGCGUAACGCGUAUGCAAUCUACCUUUUACAGGGGAAUAGCCCAGAGAAAUUUGGAUUAAUGCCCCAUAGUAUGUAUGAAUCGCAUGGUUUAUACAUUAAAGUUCCAACGGUAAAAGAUGAGCAUGCGUCCCAUUAGUUAGUUGGUAAGGUAACGGCUUACCAAGACGAUGAUGGGUAGGGGUCCUGAGAGGGAGAUCCCCCACACUGGUACUGAGACACGGACCAGACUCCUACGGGAGGCAGCAGUGAGGAAUAUUGGACAAUGGGCGCAAGCCUGAUCCAGCCAUGCCGCGUGCAGGAAGAAGCAUCUAUGGAUUGUAAACUGCUUUUAUACAAGAAGAAACACUCCCUCGUGAGGGAACUUGACGGUACUGUAUGAAUAAAGGACCGGCUAACUCCGUGCCAGCAGCCGCGGUAAAGUG
rnacentral:rRNA from 1 species